rnacentral:rRNA from 1 species
GAUGAACGCUGGCGGCGUGCCUAAUACAUGCAAGUCGAGCGAACAGACGAGGAGCUUGCUCCUCUGACGUUAGCGGCGGACGGGUGAGUAACACGUGGAUAACCUACCUAUAAGACUGGGAUAACUUCGGGAAACCGGAGCUAAUACCGGAUAAUAUAUUGAACCGCAUGGUUCAAUAGUGAAAGACGGUUUUGCUGUCACUUAUAGAUGGAUCCGCGCCGCAUUGGCUAGUUGGUAAGGUAACGGCUUACCAAGGCAACGAUGCGUAGCCGACCUGAGAGGGUGAUCGGCCACACGGGAACUGAGACACGGUCCAGACUCUUACGGGAGGCAGCAGUAGGGAAUCUUCCGCGAAGGGCGAAAGCUUGACGGAGCAACGCGGCCUGAGUGAUGAAGGUCUUCGGAUCGUAAAACUCUGUUAUUAGGGAAGAACAAAUGUGUAAGUAACUAUGCACGUCUUGACGGUACCUAAUCAGAAAGCCACGGCUAACUACGUG